rnacentral:tRNA from 1 species
GGGUGCGUAGCUCAGCGGGAGAGCACUCCCUUCACACGGGAGAGGUCGCAAGUUCAAUCCUUGCCGCGCCCACCA